rnacentral:misc_RNA from 1 species
UUUCCGUAGGUGAACCUGCGGAAGGAUCAUUAUUGGAUUUUGAAACUUCAGGCUGCUGCUGGCUCUCCUCGGAGGGCAUGUGCACGCUUGUUGUCCAUUAUUUCUCCCACUGUGCACAAAUUGUAGACCUUUCAGUAGGCCUAUGUUGUUUUUCACAAUCUCUGAAUGUAAUAGAAUGGUUUUGAAUCUUGGGAAAUACAAUACAACUUUCAACAACGGAUCUCUUGGCUCUC